rnacentral:rRNA from 1 species
AGAGUUUGAUCCUGGCUCAGAUUGAACGCUGGCGGCAUGCUUUACACAUGCAAGUCGGACGGCAGCACAGAGAAGCUUGCUUCUUGGGUGGCGAGUGGCGAACGGGUGAGUAACAUAUCGGAACGUACCGAGCAGUGGGGGAUAACUAAUCGAAAGAUUAGCUAAUACCGCAUAUAUUCUGAGGAAGAAAGCAGGGGACCAUUUGGCCUUGCGCUGUUUGAGCGGCCGAUAUCUGAUUAGCUAGUUGGUGGGGUAAAGGCCUACCAAGGCGACGAUCAGUAGCGGGUCUGAGAGGAUGAUCCGCCACACUGGGACUGAGACACGGCCCAGACUCCUACGGGAGGCAGCAGUGGGGAAUUUUGGACAAUGGGCGCAAGCCUGAUCCAGCCAUGCCGCGUGUCUGAAGAAGGCCUUCGGGUUGUAAAGGACUUUUGUCAGGGAAGAAAAGGCUGUUGCUAAUAUCGACAGCUGAUGACGGUACCUGAAGAAUAAGCACCGGCUAACUACGUGCCAGCAGCCGCGGUAAUACGUAGGGUGCGAGCGUUAAUCGGAAUUACUGGGCGUAAAGCGAGCGCAGACGGUUACUUAAGCAGGAUGUGAAAUCCCCGGGCUCAACCUGGGAACUGCGUUCUGAACUGGGUGACUAGAGUGUGUCAGAGGGAGGUAGAAUUCCACGUGUAGCAGUGAAGUGCGUAGAGAUGUGGAGGAAUACCGAUGGCGAAGGCAGCCUCCUGGGAUAACACUGACGUUCAUGCUCGAAAGCGUGGGUAGCAAACAGGAUUAGAUACCCUGGUAGUCCACGCCCUAAA